UUGGGUAACAUAUUAAUGCUAGCUCCAGAGUCUAUCAUGGCUUCCCCCACAUCACACUCAUUCAGAACACAGGAGAUUGUUAAACAUCCUGGAUCUUCUACUUUAGGUGGGUGCUUUGUCUUUUGAGGUCGAUCUACAAACUCCUCUUCUUCUUUAGUUAAUUCAACUCCCUCUUUCUUUUCUGGCUCAAUAACGUCUUCUUCAGGAUCCUCUUCUUCAUCAGUGAGUUCAAUUCUUUCUUCCUUUUCUGGCUCAACAAUAUCUUCUUCAGGAUCCUCUUCUUCAUCGGCGAGUUCAAUUUCAUCUUCACUGCUUCCUUUCUUAUUGACGUCAUUAACAUCCAUCAUCUCCUCAUAUCCUUUUUCAUUGUUUUCAAAAUCAAUUGGCUCCCAGUCUGCCUUCCUUUUAUGGCUUGUUAGAAUAGCUUUGCACUCAUCUUUAGGGUUAACAUCAGUAUUAGCCCUAAACUAAUUUUUCUUUGUGGUUUCUAUUUUUUUUGACAGCUGCCCAAUCUGUGUUUCCAAUGACCUGAAGCUAGCUUGAUCACUAUUUAGUUGAGAUUCAUAGACUUUGAAGAAUUUAUCAAAUCGGUCAUUGAGGUCUCUGACUGUCUCUGUCAAGCUGUUGACUUGCUGCCAUAAAGGUGAUGGUUGUAUCUGCCGAAAGCCUCGUACAGGUCCAGAAGGAUUAUUCUAAUGUUGCCCAACACUGGGGUGAUUCUUCCAACCUUGGCUGAAACUGCCUUGGUUGAAAGCACCUUGCUUGUACGAAAACUGGGCUCCCAUGCAGUUAACAUCCUGCUGUAACUCCUCGGGAAACACAUUGACCAUUGAUAUGGUCUCCACCACAUAAGUUGCAAAGUUGUUGGGUUUGAGAAACGUUUCUUACCCCAAUUGGAAAUUCAGCAAGGAUCGUUGUCAGCUUGUCCAAUUUCUGGUUUAGGAGAUGAUUUUGGGCCACCAUCAUUAGCAGGGAGAUGCAAGAGUCCUCCCUUCUGUGCGCCUCUCUCACUGUGUACUACUUCACUCAUGGCCAUGCUCUCAAUCAGAUCAUAUGCCUCAUCUUCAGUCUUGGUAUUUAUGCUGCCUCUAGCGGAAGCAUCUAUCAUCAUUUUAGACUGAGUAUGGAGGCCCC
rnacentral:lncRNA from 1 species